UACGUAGGGUGCGAGCGUUAAUCGGAAUUACUGGGCGUAAAGUGUGCGCAGGCGGCUGAGCAAGUCGAGUGUGAAAGCCCCGAGCUUAACUUGGGAACUGCGCUCGAAACUACUUGGCUAGAGUGUGGCAGAGGGAGGUGGAAUUCCACGUGUAGCGGUGAAAUGCGCAGAUAUCAGGAGGAACACCAAUGGCGAAGGCAGCUCUCUGGUACGUGACUGACACUGAGACGCGAAAGCGUGGGGAGCGAACAGG
rnacentral:rRNA from 1 species